UGUAGCUAUGUGGACAGGAUUGGUCCUAGAAGUUCUUUCUGAGCCACGGCACUGUCUGCGUAUACAAAGGCUGUUGAUUUUCUAUCCUGCCACUUUACCAAACUCUACUCUGAGUUGGUCCCGGCCUUAGUAGCCACCUGGGGGUUGAACCCCCAGAGGGACGAUCCGUGAGAGAGAGCAAGAGGCAAGAGGGCUCGCGAUGCCCGGUGCUCUGCUUCUCUCCCCAAGCGGCUCCAACGGCCAGCGCCGGGCCAGGCAGAAGCCAGGAGGCUUGACCUCCAUUCAGGGCGCCCAGGAGGCCGGGAGGCGUGGUCCCUGGGUCACAGCCUGGAGAGGCCGCCCCACCAGCAGCCCUGGGGCGUCAGACGCUGGACGCCGCAGGCAGCGCGCAGAUGCAUUCGUGGCGCCACGGCGGCCGCCAAUGGGGAGUGCGCCUGCGCCCGGCGCUGUGCCCCGGAAGUGGCCCCUUGUGCCCCGGAAGUGGCCCCUUGUGGCCCGCUGUGCUCAGGUAGGAGUCCUCGGCGGUCCAGUCUGCUGCUGCCGGAGAGCCCGCGCGAGCCGUCCGGAGCCGUCCUGGACGCUGCCGGCGGAGCCUGCGGGAGACCCAAAUCCCCCGGGGUCAGGCCGGGCUCAGAGAGGCUGCGGCCCGAGGCUGCCGCGGCAGGUACCUUGCCCUUCUGGAAAUGUGUAGGCGCGGUCCUCUUCUUGGGCAGCUUCCGGAAGUCUACCCCUCGGGCCUCGGCUCCUGUUCCAGAGGAGCAGAAACGCUCUUUGCAUCCAGCGUCGUGGAGUUCUUUGUUGGAACAUGUACUGAGCACUGGCGCUAAGCCUUCGAACAAGGAGGUGAGCAGCCAAGAGCAACACCUGCAGGAAGGGCCGGGCUGCUGGUGUCGGAGGAGUGGCAGUAGGUUCAACAGGACCCUCAGGUUUGUCCCUCCUCGCCUGGUGAGUCUUCUUGAAAUGUUUGUGCGUAUCAUAUGCCGGCCCUGGCCACAGGCAGGGGACACUCGGGCCUUCAGGAGCCAGGGGAAAGGAAGGAUAAAUUGUGUAUUAUAUAUUAUAAAUUUCAUGUCACAUGUUCUAAAUAGGCUUUACAUUGUAUAUCGUAAAAUGUGUAUGUGCUCGGAGGUAUCACAUACGGUUCCAGAAGGAAUGGGCCUACCUGGCUGAAUUGUCAUGCCAGGAUGGGUGAACCAGCAGGUGAGUCAUCUUCUGUCGGGUGGGCACUUACGAUGCCCAGCGACUGCGUUAAUUUCCAGGUUUCUUGUGUUAUUUUCUGGAUUUAUAGUUCUGCUUGGUGGAUAGGAGCUGAGAAAACGGAUCUAGUCAUCCAGAAAGGAAGUUCCUGCUCACAGGCUUUGACUCCUGUUUUUCCUAAUUUGCUAAGCUAGUUUAUCUCAGUUUACAUGGAAGGUUCUGCAACACAGCAGUGAUAGCAUUGACUGGGAAACCCCCCAAAAUGGUUGUAUAUUGAUGUCAUUGCCCCACUGAAUUCUAAUUCUGCCUCUGUGAUAUCCAGUGUUGCCCUAAUUUUAUGAAAAAGUUCUUUAGCAAGAUAUUGUUAGAUUGUCUUAACGAAUGCGGCUAUAUGGGGAGACAUACGAUGUAAACGUCACAUAUCCCAGUCAUAUUAUUACAUUAGCUAGGACUGUGGGGACUCUGUUUAUCAUCAGAGGCAAGUAGAUCAGAGGAUGGCACCGAAAGUUUGAGAAGGAAGCAUUAUUCCCUAAGUAUAUUUGUUGCAGGUAUAAAACUAUAAGGUUCUGAAUAACUCAAUACUGGUUCUUUUUAUUUCUAAGUUAGAUUUUGAAAUAUUGAAAUUGUGGGGAGCAGCCCGGACUGGACUGAGUUACUGGAAUUAAGACUUAUUCUAUGCAUCUGCUCUCCCACAAUAUGGCGCUGGGAGAGAAGUAAACAGCUUCCGCACAGCUGCCUCCAGUUCAGCCAAUUAACUGUAGGACUAGAAUCCCUAGGUAUUGUGCGUGUGGGCAGCCGAGUUGGGAUUGGCAGAGGAGGACUAUAAAGGAGGAGAGAAACGGCAUGCACCGGGAACAUCUAUGGGGAACAUCUAAGGGAACCCGUGCAGCCCCCGAGAGAACCGGCCGGCGGUGUGCUGCUCCCCUGCGGAAGUGGGGAAUGCGGCCAGGGGGAGGAUGGCACCGAAAGUUUGAGAAGGAAGCAUUAUUCCCUAAGUAUAUUUGUUGCAGGUAUAAAACUAUAAGGUUCUGAAUAACUCAAUACAGGUUCUUUUUAUUUCUAAGUAGAGGGGGAGCGACAGAAAUCACUUGGAUUAUGAUAUUUUUCGGUCGGAGAGGAGAGGGGUAUUGUUUCUGCACAGUAUCCACAAUGGAUGCCAUGCCAUUGGUUGUGAAACUUUGGUUGACGAAACGAAAUCCCUGUUAGUCCGUGUGUUUAAACAACACAGAAUUUCAGAAUCCCUAGGUAUUGUGUUUUGUGGUUUGGUUCUUAUAGUAUGUGGAGAAUCGAGUCUUCCUUCCUGCUGGUUAGCAUUCACUAGUGUUGACAUCCAAGGAUCAUUCCUUGGUUUUCAUUUUAGGAGAUGCUGAGCAGGGACUAAUCGGUAACAACCCCUUGAGGCGAGUCAUCAUGGAUGUUCCAGUUUCCUCAUUAUCCACUCUUGGUGUUCCUCUUAGUCCUGAUUAUUCAAAUCCAGAUGUUGAAAUGACCCCAUGUUCAGUCUAAGUGUUUGUUCUCACUGGUCUUCUCAUCCUAGACAGCCUCAUCUCUGUACCGUGUUUCAGGAGGGUCUUGGCUUUUUCUCCCAUCAUUAGCUAGACCUGUUUAUGUUGCCCACGGUUUUCUCAUUUUGGCUAUUUUCAAACUUGAUUCCUUGAUUCCAUAAUUCUUUUCCCUCACACACAACAAACCCGGAAAAAUCUGUUCUCUUGUUUUCUCAUGCUCCCAGUCCACACAUGUUCUCUGAUAACGUUCACCAGGCAUCUCAAAGGCUGGCUGGUCCCCACACCCUUCUGGAAGCCACAUGAAUACGUGAUUCUUUGGCUUUUCGCUUUUGUGUCUCAAUUCCUUUUCCACAACCUCUGCUCCUGUGACCACCAUAAAACUUUAUCAUCUCCCAUAAGCCUAGCCUCUCCCUAGGCUAGCAACUACUAGUGUACUACUAACAGGAAGUUAAAAUUUAGAAACUUUCUGGGGAAAUUCCAAAAUUAAAGUGGUUUACGCCAAACGUCUUAAGAUGCUUUCCCUGUGUGGGGGGGGGGGGAACUAGAUGGAGUGUUCACCUCACACAAUGCCUUUGUUUUGUUUGUGAGUUAUGUAUACCUCAGUAAUUAUGAAUGGGAAAACUAAAACUGACUUGCAGUUCAAUGUUGCAAAUAUUUGGGAGUUCUGUAGUGAGAGAACAGGCAUGGAGUCCAGGAAAUCCUUCAAUGAAUUGGUAUAUCUGUGGUUUUCAGAGUGCUACUUUAAAGACAUUUAAAUUAUGUUAACAUUUUCUUGCAGUGUCACUGGUCACCUACUGAUGAAGCAGGCCCUGCAUUUUCCAUUCCAUAGUUUAAUUGGGCUAAUUCACAACCUGCCUAUAAUAGUAGCUAUGUUAAAUGCACAUAGGAAUGUGCACACAUUGGUGGGAGAAUAGCACAUAGUAAUUUAGGAUUCUCGUUUCACUUUUCACUUUCCUGGUUUCCUUCAGAUACAUUUCCUUUCAUGUUGUAUUUCUGAGUUUUCAGUUUGAGGGAGGUGGGGUGACAAUGCAUUAUGUUACUUGGAUAUUGUCUUAAAUAUUCUCUUGAUGGAAUUCCCGAAUCUUUAUUUUCAAGAUAUAAAUCUCCUGAAAUUUAGUUUAGUCAAGUUGUGAAUGUUCUUUUUAAGGAUUUAUGUAUUUGAAAGUCAGACUUCCACAGAGAUAGAAGGAGAGGCAGAGAGAGAGAGAGGUCUUCCACCUGCUGGUUCACUCCCCAGUUGGCUGCAAAGGCCGGAACUGUGCCAGUGUGAAGCCAGGAGCCAGGAACCUCUUCUGGGUCUCCCACAUGGGUUCAGGGGCCCAAGGACUUGGGCCAUCUUUCACUGCUUUCCCAGGCCAUAGCAGAGAGCUGGAUUGGAAGUGGAGCAGCCGGGACUUGAACUGGUGCCCGUGUAGGAUGCCAGCACUGCAUUUGGUGGCCUCACCCGCUAUGCCACAGUGCCAGCCCCAAUCAUGAAUGUUUUAGCAUCAUUUCUGUCCCAUGAAGCCUACGAAAACCCCACAAUAUUAACCUAAGUUCCUUAACUUUUAUGAUGCAUUUUAAGUAUAGGAACCUAUUUUGAAUGCUUUAUUUUUUCCAGCCUUUUCACAGUGUAACUGAGAAACAAAAAUUCUAUCUAUUCAAGGCACGUUCUCUGUGUUUCGAUAUGAGUCUGAUCUGUAUAUUGCAUUUUCACACAAACCGUUCGACUCUCCUGGUACUUACAGUACACUAUGAAAGGAUUAGUACAAUGGGGCCACCUAACAAAUUUAUCACUUUUACCGUGUUUUGUAACUUUUUCAAAUUUUAUUUCUUUAUGUAUUUUCCCAGACAACUUUUAUUUAAGGUAUACAUACUUUAUGCAUUCAAUAAUUGCAGCUUUAGCAGCUGUAUUUAUUGGUAGCAGUAAUUCUUCUACCGUACCUGCCCUCUCAUUGACACUCCUAUGCUUUUUUUUUUUUUUUUGACAGGCAGAGUGGACAGUGACAGAGAGAGAGAGAGAGAAAGGUCUUCCUUUUGCCGUUGGUUCACCCUCCAAUGGCCGCCGCGGCUGGCGUGCUGCGCUGAUCCAAUGGCAGGAGCCAGGUACUUCUCCUGGUCUCCCGUGGGGUACAGGGCCCAAGCACUUGGGCCAUCCUCCACUGCACUCCCUGGCCACAGCAGAGAGCUGGACUGGAAGAGGGGCAACCGGGACUAGAACCGGUGCCCAUAUGGGAUGCCGGGCGUCGCAGGUGGAGGAUUAACCUAGUGAGCCACGGUGCCGACCCCUGUACAUUUCUUUUGAAAGGCAGGAAACAGAGAAAAGGGGAGAGAGGGAUAAAGAGAGUAAGGCAGAGACAGACAGGGUGAGCGAGAGGAUGAGGGAUAUCUCAUCUCAUGCAUUAUUUCCCUCCUCAGAUGUCCUCAGUGGCAGGGCUCUGCCCCAGGUCUCCCACUUUGGCACUGGGGCCCACGUCCUUGGGUCAUCUUCUAGUGCUUUCCCAGGCACGUUAGCGGGGAGGGGAAUGGUAAGUGGAGCACUUGGGACCUGGUCUGGUGCUUACACGCGAUGCUGGCAGUGCCGGUGGAGGCUCAGGCUUUUUUUACACCCCAGCUCCAGCCCCAUCACCAUAUGUUUGUAUCGUUUGACUGCCCUCUCUUCAGUUUCAUGCUCCCAGUUCAUCACAGACACCAUCCUGCUCUCUGACUGUGUUAGUUGGACUUUGUAUAUUCCACAUGGAAGUGUGAUCGUGUCGUAGUGCUCAUUUCUGUGUGUCUUGUUUCCCUCAUGGUCAUGUCCUAUAGUUCCAUACUUUUGGAUCCAUCUGUGACAAGUAGUAAUAUUUCCUUUCUUUUUAAGGUUUGGCGAGGAUGCCACUGUGUGUGUAUCCCAUUUUUCCUUAUGGGUCCAUCAGCAAACAUUUGGAUUAUUUCCAUAUCGUGGAAUUGUGAAUGAUGCUGAAGUGAUGUGGGGGUGCAGACAGUUCAUUGAGAUGGUGAUUUUCUUUUGGAUUCAUGGUCAAUAAAGGUUGUUCCUUUUUAAAUUGUAUUUGAGGA
ensembl:lncRNA